AGCUCCAAUAGCGUAUAUUAAAGUUGUUGCAGUUAAAAAGCUCGUAGUUGAAUUUCUGGACUGGACGGCGGUCCACCACCCUUUUCUUUUGGUGUGGUGCGAACUAGCAUGUUUUUCCAGGCCAUCAUUUGUGGGGUGCAGUGCGUCUCCUUAAUUGGUUGUUGCGUGCUGUGGUCGCUUCGCGUGGCAAGCCCCACAUCGAUUACUGUGAACAAAUUAGAGUGUUUAAAGCAGGCGUUUUGCUUGAAUACAUUAGCAUGGAAUAAUGGAAUAGGACCUCGGUCCCUAUUUCGUUGGUUUUACGGACCGAAGUAAUGAUUAAGAGGGACAAUUGGGGGCAUCCGUAUUUCGUAGUCAGAGGUGAAAUUCUUGGACCUACGAAAGACGAACAACUGCGAAA
rnacentral:rRNA from 1 species